UACGGGGGGGGCAAGGCGUUGUUCGGAAUUACUGGGCGUAAAAGGGCGCGUAGGCGGUUGGAUAAGUCAGCUGUGAAAACCACGGGCUUAACUCGUGGCCUGCAGUUGAGACUGUCUGGCUUGAGUGUGGGAGAGGAGAGUGGAAUUCCUGGUGUAGCGGUGAAAUGCGUAGAUAUCAGGAGGAACACCAGCGGCGAAGGCGGCGCUCUGGGCCGGAACUGACGCUGAGGAGCGAAAGCGUGGGUAGCAAACAGG
rnacentral:rRNA from 1 species